UACGAAGGGUGCAAGCGUUACUCGGAAUUACUGGGCGUAAAGCGUGCGUAGGUGGUUCGUUAAGUCUGAUGUGAAAGCCCUGGGCUCAACCUGGGAAUGGCAUUGGAUACUGGCGGGCUAGAGUGCGGUAGAGGGCAGUGGAAUUCCCAGUGUAGAGGUGAAAUUCGUAGAUAUUGGGAAGAACACCGGUGGCGAAGGCGGCUCUCUGGACCGAUACUGACGCUGAGGCGCGAAAGCGUGGGGAGCAAACAGG
rnacentral:rRNA from 1 species